GAUGAAGAACGCAGCGAAAUGCGAUACGUAAUGUGAAUUGCAAAUUCAGUGAAUCAUCGAGUCUUUGAACGCACAUUGCGCCCCCUGGUAUUCCGGGGGGCAUGCCUGUCCGAGCGUCAUUGCUGCCCUCAAGCACGGCUUGUGUGUUGGGCCCCGUCCUCCGAUCCCGGGGGACGGGCCCGAAAGGCAGCGGCGGCACCGCGUCCGGUCCUCGAGCGUAUGGGGCUUUGUCACCCGCUCUGUAGGCCCGGCCGGCGCUUGCCGAUCAACCCAAAUUUUUUAUCCAGGUUGACCUCGGAUCAGGUAGGGAUACCCGCUGAACUUAAGCAUAUCAAUAAGCUGAGGA
rnacentral:misc_RNA from 1 species